rnacentral:rRNA from 1 species
CCUACGGGUGGCAGUAGUGAGGAAUAUUGGGCAAUGGACGAGAGUCUGAACCAGCCAAGUAGCGUGAAGGAUGACUGCCCUCUGGGUUGUAAACUUCUUUUAUAUGGGAAUAAAAUGUUCCACGUGUGGGAUUUUGUAUGUAGCCUAUGAAUAAGGAUCGGCUAACUCCGUGCCAGCAGCCGCGGUAAUACGGAGGAUCCGAGCGUUAUCCGGAUUUAUUGGGUUGAAGGGGAGCUUAGGAGGUUUGUUAAGUCAGUUGUGAAAGCUUGCGGCUCAACCGUAAAAUUGCAGCUGAAACUGGCAGUCUUGAGUACAGUAGAGGUGGGCGGAAUUCGUGGUGUAGCGGUGAAAUGCUUAGAUAUCACGAAGAACUCCGAUUGCGAAGGCAGCUAACUGGACUGCAACUGACACUGAGGCUCGAAAGUGUGGGUAUCAAACAGGAUUAGAUACCCGUGUAGUC